UACAGAGGUCCCAAGCGUUGUUCGGAUUCACUGGGCGUAAAGGGUGCGUAGGUGGUGAGGUAAGUCGGAUGUGAAAUCUCCGAGCUCAACUCGGAAAUGGCAUUGGAAACUACCUUGCUCGAGGGUUGGAGGGGGGACUGGAAUGCUUGGUGUAGCAGUGAAAUGCGCAGAUAUCAAGCGGAACACCAGUGGCGAAGGCGAGUCCCUGGACAACUCCUGACACUGAGGCACGAAAGCUAGGGGAGCAAACAGG
rnacentral:rRNA from 1 species